UUCUUUCACAGUGCCAUCUUGAAAUUCUGUCAUAUCCUGUGUAUAAACAGGUGGUGAUUUCAGACACAUGGCCAAUGAAAAGACACCAGCAGAAGCUACAGCACCAUCAGGAGUAACAGCAAUAGCACCAGCAGCAUUAGCAGUAGCAGAAGGAGGAAGAGGGGAAGAGGAGGAGGAGGAGGAGGAGAAGGAGGAGGAGGAGGAGGAGGAGGAGGAGGAGGAGGCAGAGCAGGAAGAGGAGGCAGAGCAGGAGGAGGAGGAGAAAAAUCUGGAGGAGAAGGAAUAGGAAAAGUGGAAUAGGAGGAGAAGAAGGAGAAGGAGAAGGAGGAGGAGGGGUAGGAGGUAGAGGAAGAGGAGAAGGACUUUGCUUCCCUUUCCUGGGAUAAUUGCUGAAUGACUUCUUUUGGAGACAGAUACUAUGCUGAGCAAUGUUUAUGAAACAAAUUAUCAGAAUAUUAACCAUUCAUAGAAGACAUGUCAAUAUUCCUGAAGAGGAUCACCCCUGGAAGACAGAGUUAGAUGGCAGUGCAAGCUGUGCGGAAAGUCCUUAAUGAGGACGACUUUCUCAAAGCUGAUGAUGUAAUAGUUCUGAAGGAGCAUUUUGUGGGAGUCAGGGUCCCAUCUACCUCUUUCUGGGCACACAGAGCUCCUGGCCUUGCAUCCUGCCUGAGAGGUGACCUGGAUUAUUGGCUUCCCUGGUCCACACAGGGUCCUGGAUUGCUUGGUUGCCCCUCAUUCCUGGUCUACCCUGUGCCCCAUGGUGUUUCCAGCUUCUAUGGGCUGAAUUUAAUCAGUGAUUCACUGGAGCUGGAUCUGAACCCAAACCACAGGGAAGCACUGGGCACUGAGGACAAUAAGAGCAACAGACAACAUCUCCUCCACUGCUUCUGACUCUGCUCCACAAAGCAAGGCAGCUCUCACACAGCAGGCAUCCAACCUAACUCCCAGCAGGGAGAGUGUGAGAUGUCUGCGGAUGAGCCCACAUUACAGUACGAUUCUGUGGGAAGACAUCUGGUAGCUUCUGGUGCAGCUGCAGCAGUCAGGACACAUGGAACUACAUUGGAGGUUGAAGAGGCAGAGAACAACCGCAGAGGUGCCCAGUAUGUCCUCAGCCUGGACAACAAGUGUCUGCUCAAUCAUACAGACAGCCCACGACUCUCUCACCCAGCGAAACUUGAGACUGCACACUGGUGGACCAGCUGGUUCCUCAAGAGGUUAGCUCUCUCAAUGGCAUGAAGUUCAGGUGCUACCUCUUCCUAUACUGGCCUGGUGAAGACAGAACCCUGGAGGACAUUGUGGUCUGGGCAAGAGAUAUACAGCAGCCCUUUCUGUGCCAGCCAGCCUUGAAGGUUGCUUGAGAUCAUUCCAGCAUGACCAGUCUCCAGCCUUUUCCAAGCAAGUCAGUUGCUGGCCCUUACCACUUCUGCCCACCACAUCAGUCGCCUUUCCCUGCCCACUUGUAGGAGAUGGGACUAGCUCUGACUUAAUCAUAGGGCUUUGGAUGGGCUCUAUUUUUCCUGUUUCUGGUUGUAAGCUACUAGGAUUCUCAGGAGCAUAAGUGUAUGAGAGAAACAAGUGUCUUGUUAGCCCUGAA